AUUGAACGCUGGCGGCAUGCCUUACACAUGCAAGUCGAACGGCAGCACGGGUGCCUGCACCUGGUGGCGAGUGGCGAACGGGUGAGUAAUACAUCGGAACAUGUCCUGUAGUGGGGGAUAGCCCGGCGAAAGCCGGAUUAAUACCGCAUACGAUCUACGGAUGAAAGCGGGGGACCUUCGGGCCUCGCGCUAUAGGGUUGGCCGAUGGCUGAUUAGCUAGUUGGUGGGGUAAAGGCCUACCAAGGCGACGAUCAGUAGAUGGUCUGAGAGGACGACCAGCCACACUGGGACUGAGACACGGCCCAGACUCCUACGGGAGGCAGCAGUGGGGAAUUUUGGACAAUGGGCGAAAGCCUGAUCCAGCAAUGCCGCGUGUGUGAAGAAGGCCUUCGGGUUGUAAAGCACUUUUGUCCGGAAAGAAAUCCUUGGCUCUAAUACAGUCGGGGGAUGACGGUACCGGAAGAAUAAGCACCGGCUAACUACGUG
rnacentral:rRNA from 1 species